CCCUUAGAUGUUCUGGGCGGCCCGCGCACUACAAUGGCGCGUUCAUCGAGAACCAAGGUUGAAUUAUUCGAGGUAUUCUUGCAAAACGCGUCUUGAUUGGGAUAGAUCCUUGUAAUUGUUGGUCUUGAACGAGGAAUUCCUUGUAAGCGUGGUUUAUCAUCCCACGUUGAAUGCGUCCCUGCCCUUUGUACACACCGCCCGUCGCUCCUACCGAUGAAUUGUCUGGUGAAGUUCAUGGAGAGCUGUUUCACUGAGAUGUGCUUAAAGCGAGAUGAACCUAGCGGUUUAGAGGAAGGAGAAGUCGUAACA
rnacentral:rRNA from 1 species